GACGAACGCUGGCGGCGUGCCUAAUACAUGCAAGUCGAGCGGACGGAUGGGAGCUUGCUCCCAGACCGUCAGCGGCGGACGGGUGAGUAACACGUGGGCAACCUGCCUGUAAGACUGGGAUAACUCCGGGAAACCGGGGCUAAUACCGGAUAACUCUUUCCCUCACAUGAGGGAAAGCUGAAAGAUGGCAUCUCGCUAUCACUUACAGAUGGGCCCGCGGCGCAUUAGCUAAUUGGUGAGGUAACGGCUCACCAAGGCGACGAUGCGUAGCCGACCUGAGAGGGUGAUCGGCCACACUGGGACUGAGACACGGCCCAGACUCCUACGGGAGGCAGCAGUAGGGAAUCUUCCGCAAUGGACGAAAGUCUGACGGAGCAACGCCGCGUGAGUGAUGAAGGUUUUCGGAUCGUAAAACUCUGUUGUCAGGGAAGAACAAGUACCGGAGUAACUGCCGGUACCUUGACGGUACCUGACCAGAAAGCCACGGCUAACUACGUG
rnacentral:rRNA from 1 species